AUGGAGGACGACUCACUCUACUUGAGAGGUGAGUGGCAGUUCAACCACUUUUCAAAACUCACAUCUUCUCGGCCCGAUGCAGCUUUUGCUGAAAUCCAGCGGACUUCUCUCCCUGAGAAGUCACCACUCUCAUGUGAGACCCGUGUCGACCUCUGUGAUGAUUUGGCUCCUGUGGCAAGACAGCUUGCUCCCAGGGAGAAGCUUCCUCUGAGUAGCAGGAGACCUGCUGCGGUGGGGGCUGGGCUCCAGAAUAUGGGAAAUACCUGCUACGUGAACGCUUCCUUGCAGUGCCUGACAUACACACCGCCCCUUGCCAACUACAUGCUGUCCCGGGAGCACUCUCAAACGUGUCAUCGUCACAAGGGCUGCAUGCUCUGUACUAUGCAAGCUCACAUCACACGGGCCCUCCACAAUCCUGGCCACGUCAUCCAGCCCUCACAGGCAUUGGCUGCUGGCUUCCAUAGAGGCAAGCAGGAAGAUGCCCAUGAAUUUCUCAUGUUCACUGUGGAUGCCAUGAAAAAGGCAUGCCUUCCCGGGCACAAGCAGGUAGAUCAUCACUCUAAGGACACCACCCUCAUCCACCAAAUAUUUGGAGGCUACUGGAGAUCUCAAAUCAAGUGUCUCCACUGCCACGGCAUUUCAGACACUUUUGACCCUUACCUGGACAUCGCCCUGGAUAUCCAGGCAGCUCAGAGUGUCCAGCAAGCUUUGGAACAGUUGGUGAAGCCCGAAGAACUCAAUGGAGAGAAUGCCUAUCAUUGUGGUGUUUGUCUCCAGAGGGCGCCGGCCUCCAAGACGUUAACUUUACACACCUCUGCCAAGGUCCUCAUCCUUGUAUUGAAGAGAUUCUCCGAUGUCACAGGCAACAAGAUUGCCAAGAAUGUGCAAUAUCCUGAGUGCCUUGACAUGCAGCCAUACAUGUCUCAGCAGAACACAGGACCUCUUGUCUAUGUCCUCUAUGCUGUGCUGGUCCACGCUGGGUGGAGUUGUCACAACGGACAUUACUUCUCUUAUGUCAAAGCUCAAGAAGGCCAGUGGUAUAAAAUGGAUGAUGCCGAGGUCACCGCCUCUAGCAUCACUUCUGUCCUGAGUCAACAGGCCUACGUCCUCUUUUACAUCCAGAAGAGUGAAUGGGAAAGACACAGUGAGAGUGUGUCAAGAGGCAGGGAACCAAGAGCCCUUGGCUCUGAAGACUAA